rnacentral:misc_RNA from 1 species
CGUAGGCCAGAUAAGGUGUUUACGCUGGAUCAGGUAACAAGGCGCGCCAAAAAGCAAAACGCCCGCAUAUGCGGGCGUUCAGGAACACGUCGUAGAGGGAAGAUUAUUCUUCUUCGUCGCGCAGCGGAACAAUCA